UACUCCAGUGCUAGCCUCCCUACACUGGCUUCCUGUUAAGGCAAGGGCUGAUUUCAAGGUUUUACUGCUAACCUACAAAGCAUUACAUGGGCUUGCUCCUACCUAUCUUUCCGAUUUGGUCCUGCUGUACAUACCUACACGUACGUUACGGUCACAAGACGCAGGCCUCCUAAUUGUCCCUAGAAUUUCUAAGCAAACAGCUGGAGGCAGGGCUUUCUCCUAUAGAGCUCAAUUUUUAUGGAAUGGUCUGCCUACCCAUGUGAGAGACGCAGACUCGGUCUCAACCUUUAAGUCUUUACUGAAGACUCAUCUCUUCAGUAGGUCCUAUGAUUGAGUGUAGUCUGGCCCAGGAGUGUGAAGGUGAACGGAAAGGCUCUGGAGCAACGAACUGCCCUUGCUGUCUCUGCCUGGCCGGUUCCCCUCUCUCCACUGGGAUUCUCUGCCUCUAACCCUAUUACAGGGGCUGAGUCACUGGCUUACUGGUGCUCUUCCAUGCCAUCCCUAGGAGGGGUGCGUCAAUUGAGUGGGUUGAGUCACUGACGUGGUCUUCCUGUCUGGGUUGGCGCCCACCCUUGGGUUGUGCCGUGGCGGAGAUCUUUGUGGGCUAUACUCGGCCUUGUCUCAGGAUGGACCUGAGCCCUAGGACCAUGCCCCAGGACUACCUGGCAUGAUGACUCCUUGCUGUCCCCAGUCCACCUAGCCAUGCUGCUGGUCCAGUUUCAACUGUUCUGCCUGCGGCUAUGGAACCCUGACCUGUUCACCGGACGUGCUACCUGUCCCAGACCUGUUGUUUUCAACUCUCUAGAGACAGCAGGAGCGGUAGAGAUACUCUCAAUGAUCGGCUAUGAAAAGCCAACUGACAUUUACUCUUGAGGUGCUGACUUGUUAUACCCUCGACAACUACUGUGAUUAUUAUUAUUUGACCAUGCUGGUAAUUUAUGAACAUUUGAACAUCUUGGCCAUGUUCUGUUAUAAUCUCCACCUGGCACAGCCAGAAGAGGACUGGCCACCCCUCAUAGCCUGGUUCCUCUCUAGGUUUCUUCCUAGGUUUUGGCCUUUCUAGGGAGUUUUUCCUAGCCACCGUGCUUCUACACCUGCAUUGCUUGCUGUUUGGGGUUUUAGGCUGGGUUUCUGUACAGCACUUUGAGAUAUCAGCUGAUGUAAGAAGGGCUUUAUAAAUACAUUUCAUUUGAUUUGAAGUCUAUCUGGUGUGAUCCUUGUAAUUAUGGGGGAUACAAGGGCCAAAGAGUGAGAGAAUAGUGCUGAAGCACGAAAUUGGGGUGUGUGAUUGGCAGCCUUGUCUUUGCAAGUCUGAUCUGCAAUGGAUUUGUUAUUAUAAUGUUAAUACUGGUCAUACUGGUCACAAUAAAAGUGUGGUAGUCUUUUCAAAAUUGUAUUGAGCAAAAGCUGAACACAUUAAGGAAAUAGACGCCUGGCUCAAAUAGAAGCCUGUCUUUAAUAAGUGCUGUUUGUGUUCAGUGAUUGAGGCAAAUAAACGCCAGGGAUAUUUAUCAAAGUUUUACGGUAGCAAUCUUAUUCAGAUGUCACAGCUCACUUAAACCCCAUGGCCCUGUUGUAAAAGAGUUG
rnacentral:lncRNA from 1 species